GAGGAAUAUUGGUCAAUGGGCGAGAGCCUGAACCAGCCAAGUAGCGUGCAGGAAGACGGCCCUAUGGGUUGUAAACUGCUUUUAUGUGGGGAUAAAGUGAGCUACGUGUAGUUUAUUGCAGGUACCACAUGAAUAAGGACCGGCUAAUUCCGUGCCAGCAGCCGCGGUAAUACGGAAGAUCCAGGCGUUAUCCGGAUUUAUUGGGUUUAAAGGGAGCGUAGGCCGUGGAUUAAGCGUGUUGUGAAAUGUAGACGCUCAACGUCUGAAUUGCAGCGCGAACUGGUUCACUUGAGUAUGCACAACGUAGGCGGAAUUCGUCGUGUAGCGGUGAAAUGCUUAGAUAUGACGAAGAACUCCGAUUGCGAAGGCAGCUUACGGGAGCACAACUGACGCUGAAGCUCGAAGGUGCGGGUAUCAAACAGGAUUAGAUACCCUGGUAGUCCGCACAGUAAACGAUGGAUGCCCGUUGUUAGUUCACUUAAGAAUUAGCGACCAAGCGAAAGCAUUAAGCAUCCCACCUGGGGAGUACGCCGGCAACGGUG
rnacentral:rRNA from 1 species